GAUGAAGAACGCAGUGAAAUGCGAUAAGUAGUGUGAAUUGCAGAAUUCAGUGAAUCAUCGAAUCUUUGAACGCACAUUGCGCCCUUUGGUAUUCCAAAGGGCAUGCCUGUUCGAGCGUCAUUUGUACCCUCAAGCUUUGCUUGGUGUUGGGCGUCUUGUCUCUAGCUUUGCUGGAGACUCGCCUUAAAGUAAUUGGCAGCCGGCCUACUGGUUUCGGAGCGCAGCACAAGUCGCACUCUCUAUCAGCAAAGGUCUAGCAUCCAUUAAGCCUUUUUUUCAACUUUUGACCUCGGAUCAGGUAGGGAUACCCGCUGAACUUAAGCAUAUCAAUAAGCGGACGA
rnacentral:misc_RNA from 1 species